rnacentral:lncRNA from 12 species
GCACCUCUAGGGGCGGGUCCAAGUUGCAUGCCGGGAACAAUAUGAGCCGGAGAGCUCCAGGCUUCUGAGGCAUUCCCUGCUUGGGACUUCAUUUCCCAGUGGCCUCCACGCCCAACUAGCCGCCACUUCCGGCAUCCGGGGGUCCCUGUCCUGGAGGGAUGAGGCCCUCCGGCGGAGGAGAGAAUUCGUGGCUGCCAGAGGCCUCUGCUGACCAGGACCCCAGCCGGAGGGACCCGCCAGCGUGUGUGGGCAGAGAGAGGCGCUCAGGACAGAGCGCUGACAGGCACCCGAGGGAGGGCGCCUGAGCGCGUGUGCGCGCGCAGCGAGGAGGGGGACUGUGCGACCGCGAGGGGCGGCCGCGGAGUGUGGCGGUGCGUGCGUGAGGGCGCGCGUGGUGCUGCGGUGACGGGGAGAGGGGGCGUGUGGUGAGCGUGCUUCGCCGUGGCUGUGUGUGCGUGUCAGUGUGAGUCACGGGACCGGCGGCCCGCCGCUUCCUCCCCUCCCAGCCACGUGGCUGCAGCAUGCCCGUGGCCCCUGUAGAGAGGUCAGACGCUGAGCCCAGAAUGAAAGGUUUCCUCCGGAAAGCCCGGGCCUGGCCUUGGGAUGGGGACUUAAGCCCUGGAAGUGCCUGUCUGGGCCCCCCACGAGGGCAGCUACCUGUUGCGAACCACCGCAUUCUCGGAGUUGCGUCCCCAGGAACCAGCUUCGAACGCGGGGACCGAUUCCUCCUUUUACUCCCAUCCCAUUUUGUGCGAAGUAAGGGAGGUGUGGCCCUGGAGGGUACUUUUAAAUUUAGUCUGCGUUCCCAGAAAAGCCUGGGGUCUCAUGCUCGCCUUCUCCCUCUUCAGUCAUACCAUUACCCAAAAGAAGGACUCCGAGAAGGAUGGGAGACUAUUAUUACCGCACGUCUAAAGUCAAGGGAGGGGAAGCAUGAGGAAGAUGGACCAAUUUUGUUGUUCUAAAAACAUGGCCUACGGAUCUCUGUCAUUCAGGGACGUGGCCAUCAGCUUCUCCCAGGAGGAGUGGGAGUGCCUGGACCCUGCUCAGAGGGCUUUGUACAGGGAUGUGAUGUUGGAGACCUACAGCAACCUGGUUUCACUAGCAGGAAUUUCCAUCUCUAAGCCAAAUGUGAUUACCUUAUUGGAGCAAGAGAAAGAGCUCUGGGUGGUUGUGAGGAGAGAGACAAGUGGAUGGUACCCAGAUUUGGAGUCAAAUUAUGGAGCUGAGAAGUUAUCUCCAGAAAAUGAUAUUUGUGAAAUAAAUUUGCCUAAACACAGUAUAAAGAAAAUAAG